AUCACUUUUGGAUGCGAGUUGGGGUAUUUCCGAAGGAAGUUUAAAAAGCCUUCCGUGUGCUCAUUGUAUUCGUGUUUUCUUUGGGUGCACUUUCUUCGUUUUUUGGUAGGUUAACAUCAAUUUUUGGACGUUACAAAAUGACUCGGGGGAAUGUAGCUUCGAUUUUUCGAAGUGUUAUAGCCCUUGGUAGAUGUGGCGACCGGGAUUGAGGAUUGCAACGAAUGCUUUCGGGCUAUCCUUCUGACCUCUGGUGGUUGCUUUGGGGUCGAAAGCGUGCUUACGACUUCUAAGUUGGCUAUCAAAAGGCUAGAAUGUGAUUAAAUUCGUCAAGGAUGUUGACGUAAUGGCUU
rnacentral:rRNA from 1 species